rnacentral:rRNA from 1 species
UACGAACCGUACAAACGUUAUUCGGAAUUACUGGGCUUAAAGGGUGCGUAGGCGGCCAAGUAAGUGAGGUGUGAAAUCCCUCGGCUCAACCGAGGAACUGCGCUUCAUACUGCUUGGCUUGAGGGAGACAGGGGUAAGCGGAACUGAUGGUGGAGCGGUGAAAUGCGUUGAUAUCAUCAGGAACACCGGUGGCGAAAGCGGCUUACCGGGUCUCUUCUGACGCUGAGGUACGAAAGCCAGGGGAGCAAACGGG